CUCCUUCCAGCCGGCGAGGAACUUGUACCUCGUCGACUGGAAGGACACCCUUCUGGUCGACGAGGUACUUGUACCUCAUCGACCGGAAGGGCUUCCUUCCAGCCGGCGAGGUACAAGACCUCGUCGACCGAAAGGUG
rnacentral:miRNA from 1 species